UGUUCUAUGGAUUAGUUGGUUAAAUCUCUCCUGACCAGCGAUCGGAGUCAUGGGUUCGAAUCCCAUUUACACAA
rnacentral:tRNA from 1 species